AAACGUCUCAGUUCGGACUGUGGUCUGCAACCCGACCACACGAAGCUGGAAUCGCUAGUAAUCGCGAAUCAGAAUGUCGCGGUGAAUACGUUCCCGGGUCUUGUACACACCGCCCGUCACACCAUGGGAGUCAGCAACGCCCGAAGUCAGUGACCUAACCGAAAGGGAGGAGCUGCCAAAGGCGGGGCCGGUAACUGGGGUGAAGUCGUAACAAGGUACC
rnacentral:rRNA from 1 species